GAUGAACGCUGGCGGCGUGCCUAAUACAUGCAAGUCGAGCGAACAGACGAGGAGCUUGCUCCUCUGACGUUAGCGGCGGACGGGUGAGUAACACGUGGAUAACCUACCUAUAAGACUGGGAUAACUUCGGGAAACCGGAGCUAAUACCGGAUAAUAUAUUGAACCGCAUGGUUCAAUAGUGAAAGACGGUUUUGCUGUCACUUAUAGAUGGAUCCGCGCCGCAUUAGCUAGUUGGUAAGGUAACGGCUUACCAAGGCAACGAUGCGUAGCCGACCUGAGAGGGUGAUCGGCCACACUGGAACUGAGACACGGUCCAGACUCCUACGGGAGGCAGCAGUAGGGAAUCUGCCGCAAUGGGCGAAAGCCUGACGGAGCAACGCCGCGUGAGUGAUGAAGGUCUUCGGAUCGGAAAACUCUGUUAUUAGGGAAGAACAAAUGUGUAAGUAACUAUGCACGUCUUGACGGUACCUAAUCAGAAAGCCACGGCUAACUACGUG
rnacentral:rRNA from 1 species